GUUGAAACACCGGUUCCCGUACGAUCACCGAAGUUAAGCAACGUCAAGCUUGUUAAGUACCUAGAUGGAUGACCGUUUGAGAAUACCAGAUGUUGUAAG
rnacentral:rRNA from 1 species